UUAAUAGAAGCCAAAAAGAGGCUAUUCACUGUUAAUGAAUUUAUUGAUACAUCAUCCUAUUAAG
rnacentral:tRNA from 1 species